CUUCAUCAAGCUCAAGCUUUUCAAGUCAUAGUCUUAGUACAUCUGGAUUUCUGUCCUCAACAUCAGCAAGUUUAGAACCGUCAGGGAGUAUCAGCGGCACAGCGUCUAGUAGCACCUUGGACUGUAUCUGUGAGGGAAGUAGUUCAAGUAAGUGUGAGGAUUAGAAAUAAGUAGACUUCUAAGGAAAAAUGUACGUAUGUAUUGCGUAUCUGAAGUUCUAAUAGUGGAUUAUGGAAGACAAUAGUUAGACAUAGAUCAGAACAGUGCCAUCCAAACUACCACAACUUGGUAAAGUGUAGAUCCGUCAAAGUGUAAAAUGUAGAGUUUGAAGAAAAGCCGCAGUGAAAUCACCAUUUUCUAUUGAAACUCUUGUUAAAUUCUUGUGACGUAUCGGGACAAAAAUAAUCCCAUCGUCAGACACUGAAACACAUGCAGAGAGUAAGUGAGGAGACUUGUACACCAUCAAAAGGUCCCGGAAAUAAAGAGGUCCUGAACAGCU